GCUACACACGUGCUACAAUGGCGCAUACAAAGAGAAGCGACCUCGCGAGAGCAAGCGGACCUCAUAAAGUGCGUCGUAGUCCGGAUUGGAGUCUGCAACUCGACUCCAUGAAGUCGGAAUCGCUAGUAAUCGUGGAUCAGAAUGCCACGGUGAAUACGUUCCCGGGCCUUGUACACACCGCCCGUCACACCAUGGGAGUGGGUUGCAAAAGAAGUAGGUAGCUUAACCUUCGGGAGGGCGCUUACCACUUUGUGAUUCAUGACUGGGGUGAAGUCGUAACAAGGUAACCGUAGGGGAACCUGCGGUUGGAUCACCUCCUUACCUUAAAGAAGC
rnacentral:rRNA from 1 species